UCAAUCAAGCAUAUUUAAGAAAUAAAUUGGUUUGCCUCCAGGUAGCAGUCUUCAUUAAUGCAACUAACAGGAAAUAAGACUAUAAAACACUAGACAAUUAAAAUUUAGGAACGUUUUCUGCUUUUUGAACAACUGUAUGCUAUGGCUACUUAAAAACACUUUAAACAAUCACAUCCGAAAUCUUAUUACUUAUCUCAACUGAAGCAGUAAGUGCACAAUUUCAAAAAUGGCCCUACUGCAGAACGUCACAGCUAAGUUUUAAUCACAUGCGGAGAAGGCUGUGGACCAUGGGGAGAGGGCCGGGUGCUUCUCAGCUCACACUCUGGGGUAGGUGAUUAACACAAAGGCUGAGGGGCAUCCAGUUUGGCUCUGGGUUCAUUUACAUGAGGAGGUUGGAACAGCAACUGCUGACACCAAUACCCAGCAUAGUGCAAAGCUGAGGGACAGAAAUAUCGAGUCAUCUGGCCAAAACAAAAGACAAACUAGCACCAGAGACCGCAGCCAACCCAGGCUAAUGCCAUAUCUUUGCUCAGUCCUGGGUGUGUGAAAGAGCCCUGAUUUGGUUCUGAAACCCCCCAUAAUCUUGACCUCCUCCCACCCAUCUCCCUUACCCCAUUUUUUCCCGCUCUCAUUGACUUCUUUGCUGUCCCCACAACUGGCCAGGCUCCCACCUCAGGGCCUGGCUCUGUGCCAUCCACUUGCAAUGUUCUCAGGGCCCUCCACGCCUUCUGCAGCUCCUUGCUCAAUUGGCCCCUUCUCAUUGACUCUUCUUGACCUCCCCACUUGAAACUUCAAAUCUCCCCAAUCCUGCUCCUUGUUCCCCAGGUGCCCUGGGUCUGGAAAAUGCUAUGUGGGAGUGGAUGCUUCUAGAAGCGUACGGGCCAAGGCUCAUGGCUGGAUAAGCAUCUGAGGUGCCACAGCCCAAAUGGACAUUUCCUGACCUUGUUAUAUGAAUUAAACUUUCAAAAAGUUAUUAUGAUAUAACUUACAUCUUACAGAUGUAAGAUGAAGACUUACAUCUGCUGUGAGUGCACAGCUCCAAAGACUUACAGAUGGAACUCGCCAGCCCCCAGAUCAUGAAGCAGAACAUGCCCAGGCCCUCCCAGCACUGCCCCUGCAACCACGGCCUGACUCUGUAGGCCAGCCUCCUGUGCUUUUUACACAGAGGGAAUGAUAACCUCCUCAGUUUUUUAAAAUGAACUUUUACUUUUACUCUUUGAAUGACUUUAAAUUUACAGAAAAAUUAAACAGAUACGAUAGAGUUCGCCUGUGCUUUCCAUCCAACUCUCCUUAAGAAUGACAUUUUGCAAACCCCGUCUCUACUAAAAAUACAAAAAAUUAGCCGGGCGGGGUGGCGGGCGCCUGUAGUCCCAGCUACUCAGGAGGUUGAGGCAGCAGAAUGGCAGGAACCUGGCAGGCGGAGCUUGCAGUGAGCUGAGAUCACGCCACUGCACUCCAGCUUGGACAACAGAGCGAGACUCCGUCUCAAAAAAAAAAAAAAAGAAUGACAUUCUGCAUAACCCUGGCACAUCUGUCAAAACUAGAAAUUUAGGCCAGGCAUGGUGGCUCAUGCCUGUAUCCCAGCAUUUUGGGAGGCCAAGGUGGGAGGAUUAUUUGAGGCCAGGAGUUCAAGACCAACCUGGGCAACACAGCGAGACCCCAUCUCUACAAAACAUACUAAAAAAAAAACCCCAAAACAAUACAAUCAGCUGGGCAUGGUGGUGCGUGCCUGUGGUCCCAACUACUCAGGAGGCUGGGGUGGGAGGAUUCCUCGAGCCCAGGAAGUCAAGGCUGCAGUGAGCUACAACUGCACCACUGCACUGAGCUACAACUGCACCACUGCACUGCAGUCCGGGUGACAGAGCAAGACCCGGUCUCAAAAAAACAAAGAGGAAAGGAAAAGGAAAAAGGAAAGGAAAGAAAAGGAAAAAAGAAGCAAACGGAGAAUGAGGCAUGAGCCUCUCGUGGGAUUUAUUCCUGCUGUUUACGGCUGGAAACCCAAGGGCAACACUGUCCAGGGAAACACUGAGGCCCAGCUGACGACACGUGCUGGGCUCCAGAGUCUGCACCUUCACCUCAAAGAGGCUUUAGCCUCUCAUCUCUCUCCUCUUCUCAUCCAGGCUGUCUCUACACCAGCAGCGCUCAACCAAGAUGCUUCUGCCCUCACCAUCAAGAGACAGGUAGCCGUGCCUGGGGACACU
rnacentral:lncRNA from 1 species